UAUCCACUUCCAUAGCUCUUAGUUAAAUGGUGGAUCUCUCUUUUCUUUUCUUUUUUCCCUUCUAAUAGCUUUGCUAGGUGUGAAAUGAGAAAUUAGAACUGAAAUUGUUACUCCUGCCUCUUGGAUAAGAGAUUAUGUGUAUGCUCAUUAUACACUUUCCCCCUAAUCUUGUAUUGUUGCGUUGUAUUGUAUUGCUCCUCUUCUUUUGACUUGUUUCAAUUCAACCUUAAGAAAACAAACUACAAUAGGCAAUGGCCUCAGUAACCAUGACUGCAUCAUCUCUUGGUGGCGCAACCCUCUCCAGCUGUUCUCCUAUCACGGCACGUCCGUUUGUUGGCCAAGGCUGCAGGAGCAGCUGAAGAGCAAAAGGUGAAGAUAAACUGUGACACCAAGAAAGAGGACAAGAAUGGGAGUUGCUCUGCUGCUGGGAUUGCAUUGGCUGAUGGGCCAAAACCGGGUACACCACCACCACACCACAACCCCACCACCCCCCCGCGCGGCCGAGAAGCUAGGAAAGCAUUUGCUUCAGUUUGUGUUAUCAUGCCUGCAGCUAAGAUCUGUCGCAGAUGAAGCUCUAUAAUUUGUUGUGUUUUAUGCUGAAUUAGUUUGAGCCAAAUGUAAUGGUGCCCUAUUUAUGUGCUGGUCAUCUUCUCUUGGGGAGAAACUUAGUUUGCUCUAAUGCUUCUGUGAGAUGUUAAUCUGAGCAUUCUAGAUGUCUUUGAUGAUUUUUGUAAGCAAGAACAUGCUCUAUGAAGUUAAUCAAAAAGCAAUUAUGGGCCACCAAAUGGAGCUAACACUACCCCUUUCAAUUCUCAGAAUCACCACCUCUGCUUUAAUCGAAUACCUCCUCUUAUUAAGAUGAAACAUACCAUUUCAGAGUUGGAAGAUUUUCUAACUCCCAAAUUCGAAUUUCCCAUCCACAUUAGUCAAAUAAAGUAUAACAAGUGCUAAUUCUAAGGCAUGACCCAAUUAGAGAAUAGAUUGUCAACAUUAUUGCACGAAAAUCAAAAGAUAAAGUUUAGGGAUAAAAGAAAGGUAAUUUGUGCAACCCGGAUAGGUGAGUUAAACUAGUUAAUCAAUGCAUUGCGUCAGUCCUUUUGCACCUGAGUUUGAUUCAUAUUUCUGUGAUGUAGUAGUUUAGAAUAUCAUUUUGUCAAAACCCAAAAAAAAAAAAAAGGCAAUUUGUCCAACCCCACUUCCCUAUAUAUCAAAAAAUAUUUGUUUUUAAAUGAGAUCGGAAAUUCCCAUUCAUGUUCCCGCACCAUAUUUCCUGUUUAUAUUUGUAGAUUAAAAAAAUAAUAAUAAUAAAAAGUUAUAUGCACAUAUAUUUUUCUAAUUAAUUCACAAUUUUAAAUUUAAAUUAGUGUCUAUAUUGACAACUCCCUUUCGUAAAUUCUCCAAACAUGUGAUGUUUCCCUUUUUUUCCCGGGCAACCCGAACCGUACCAAAACUCUAACGGCCGAAUUUGAGCAGCCUAAAACCCUAAACCCUAAGCCCCUGAUCGAACCUCCAAAAUAAAAAAAGAAAGGAAAAAAAACGAAACUUUUUUUUUUUUGAAAACCCAAAAGAGGGCAAGCAGAGUCCUCGCCUACGUGCGGGGGAUACCCUGGAUUCAUCCAAAAGAAAAGAAAACACCGAAAAUUACAAUUACACAGCAAAAGAAGAGGAAGAGAAAGCUCUUUCCCGUUGUAAUCAAUCUUCACAGAGCACACAAAGCAGAGAUUCUUAGCUGCUUCGUAAAACCCGAUUCCAGGUACGACAUUUUUCCUAAAAACCCUAAUCUAGUCAUCCAUCCCCAAUCCCUAACCCUGAAAUCUCUUUUGUUUCAAUUUCUCAACCUUUGAUUUCAAAUCCAGGUUUUGAAAAGGGAGAGAACUCUGUUAACUCGACUGGUGUGGUCUCUUCAACCAACCCUUCACCAGGCCUGCGUCGUUGCUUCCUCCGCCAUCGCCUUUAGCGUUCCUGUAAGAUCACUGACAUGGAAGCCGAAGCUGAGAAGAGCUUAGUUAAGAGAAAUUUUCUCAGAGACAAUGAAGUAAAGAUUCAAAUGUUGUGGAAAGAGCAUGAUGUUUACAGGGCUGAAUCUUGUGAAAAGCCUCCUGAACCAGGGGAGAAGUUCUUUGGAAACUUCCCAUUCCCUUACAUGAAUGGUUCUUUGCAUCAUGCACAUGCAUUCUCACUCUCAAAGCUAGAGUUUUCUGCACGUUAUCAUAGGUUAAGAGGCGCCGAUGUUCUCUUGCCUUUUGCUUUUCACGGCACUGGCAUGCCCAUCAAAGCCUCAGCUGAUAAGCUUGCACGAGAGAUCAAACAGUUUGGGAACCCACCAGUGUUUCCCCAAAGUGACAAAGAGGAGCAAGGGAACCAGCAGGAAGCAGAAGAUGAAAAAGCAGGUGCACCUCCAGAUAAUAAGUUAAAGGGAAAGAAGUCCCAGGCUGCAUCAAAAUAAAGUGGACAAGCAUACCAAUGGCAAAUUAUGCGUAGUCUUGGCCUCUCUGACAGUGAGAUACCUGAAUUCCAAGAACCGUCUAAGUGGUUGAACUAUUUCCCUCCAUUGGCAGUGGAAUACCUAAAGGCUUUUGGCUUGGGAUGUGACUGGAGCCGCUCCUUUGUUACUACAGACUUGAAUCCAUAUUUUGAUAAGUUUGUGAGGUGGCAGAUGUGGAAAUUGAAAGAAAUAGGUAAGAUUGUGAAAGAUAAACGUUACACAAUCUACUCUCCAUUGGAUGGAAAGCCAUGUGCAGAUCAUGAUAGGGCAACUGGUGAAGGAGUUCAGCCCCAAGAAUACACAAUCAUCAAAAUGGAGGUAGUGGCACCUUUUCCUGCUAAGUUGGGAGUAUUGGAAGGGAGGAAAGUUUUCCUUGCUGCAGCAACUUUGAGACCAGAAACCAUGUGUGGACAAACAAAUGCAUGGGUUUUGCCCAAUGGAAAGUAUGGAGCCUUUGAAAUCAACGACACUGAUGUAUUUGUUCUUACUCAGAGAGCAGCACUUAACCUCGCCUAUCAGGAGUAUUCUAGAGUCCCUGAGAAGCCUACUUGCUUGGUUGAUCUCACUGGUUAUGAUUUGAUUGGUCUUCCAUUGAAAUCGCCACUUGCACUCAAUCAGAUCAUUUACGCCCUUCCAAUGUUGACAAUCCUAACAGACAAAGGUACUGGGAUUGUGACCAGUGUCCCUUCUGAUGCUCCUGAUGAUUUUAUGGCCUUGCAUGAUUUAAAAUUGAAGCCAGCUUUCAGGUCAAAAUAUGGUGUGAGGGAUGAAUGGGUCAUGCCUUUUGAUAUUAUCCCAAUCAUUGACAUUCCCUAAUUUGGAGAUAAGGCUGCAGAAAAGGUGUGUGUAGAUCUCAAAAUCAAAAGCCAGAAUGACAGAGAGAAGCUAGCAGAAGCCAAGAGGUUGACCUACUUGAAAGGAUUUACAGAAGGAACAAUGCUUGUGGGAGAAUUCAACGGAAGGAAAGUUCAGGAGGCGAAAGCACUGUUAAGGAGCAAGCUGAUAGAGGCAGGUGAUGCAAUUAUGUAUAGUGAACCUGAGAAGCGUGUAGUGCCAAGGUCGGGUGAUGAAUGUCUUGUGGCAUGUACCGAGCCAUGGUACAUCACAUAUGGCGAAGCAGAAUGGAAAAAACAGGCUCAGGAGUACUUAUCCAGCAUGAACUUUUAUUCUGACAUGACACGGCAUGGAUUUGAACAUACAUUGACUUGGUUGAAUCAGUGGGCUUGCUCACGAUCAUUUGGGCUUGGGACGCGCAUUCCCUGGGAUGAAAAGUACUUUGUCGAAUCGUUGUCUGAUUCCACCAUUUACAUGGCUUAUUACACCAUUGCUCACUUGUUGCACAAUGAAGACAUGUAUGGGGGUUCCAGCACAUCUGGGGUUACACCUGAGCAAAUGACCAAUGAAGUUUGGGAUUUUAUUUUCUGUGAUGGCCCAUUUCCAAAAUCAUCUGAGGUGUCACAAUUAAUUCUGAAUAAGAUGAAGCAGGAGUUUGAGUACUGGUAUCCUUUUGAUCUUCGAGUGUCUGGUAAGGAUCUAAUCCAGAAUCAUUUAACCUUUUGCAUUUACAACGACACAGCAAUUAUGUCCAAGAAGCACUGGCCUCGUGGAUUUAGAUGCAAUGGGCACCUCAUGCUUGAUUCAAUGAAGAUGUCCAAGUCCACAGGGAACUUUAUGACAUUGCGUGAGGCAAUUGCAGAAUAUUCUGCUGAUGCCACACGGUUCUCUUUGGCUGAUGCUGGUGAUGGUGUUGAUGAUGCAAAUUUUGUUUCUAGUACUGCAAAUAAGGCCAUCCUAGAUCUCAGUAAAGAGAUCUCAUGGAUGGAAGAACAAUUGGGUGCAGACACGUUGAGAAUAGGUCCCCCUUCUACUUUUGCUGACAGGGUCUUUGCGAAUGAGAUGAAUAUUGCUGUGAAGAUGACUGAGCAGAAUUACCAGGCUUGCAAGUUCCGAGAGGCCCUUAUUACUGGCUUUGUUGGUCUUCAAGCUGCCAGGAAGUGGCACCGGAUUUCAUGUGGCUCUCAAGAAAUGAACCGUGAUUUGGUGUGGCGCUUUAUGGAUGUACAGACACGUUUAAUUGCUCCAAUCUGUCCACAUUAUACAGAAUAUGUCUGGAGGGAGCUUUUGAAGAAGGAUGGGUUUGUGGUAAAUGCAGGCUGGCCUGCAGCUGAUGCUCCAGACUUAACCCUCCGGAGUGCCAAAAAGUAUGUGGAAGACUUGAUUGGUUCAAUGAUGAAGCUGUACAACAAGCAAAAGGCAAAUUUGACCAAUAAGAAGGUGAUAGGCUUGAUAUGUGUUAAGGAACAAUUUGAUGAAUGGAAGAUAGAGUGCUUGAGGAUACUCCAGAAUAACUUCAACAGAGAGACUCGUUUUGCUGCAGACAGUGUCAUAUUGGAGGCAUUGCAAAGUAGUUCUGUCAAUCAGGGUAAAGAUUUUAGACAAACCCAAAAGCUUUGUAUGCCUUUCUUGAAGUCAAAGAAGAAGGAUGCAGUUGAACUUGGGGCUCAGGCCUUAGACUUAAAGCUACCAUUUGGAGAGAUUGAGGUCCUUCAACAGAACUUGGACUUGGUUAAGAGACAAGUCAAACUUGAAGAGGUGGAAGUUUUGUCUGCUACCAACCCAGAUGAUCGUGCUAAAGCGGGCUCUCAUGUUAAACAGAUAGAGCAAAAUCCUCCAUCCCCUGGAAGUCCAACGACCAUCUUCUUGACCUGUUCAUUAGCUAUAAUCUUUUUGGUUGAUAUCUACAAUUUACUUACAGAACUCUCUUUGUCAGAUUAGUUUGCUCACCUAACUUGUGUGGGUUUUUCUUUUAUUUAUUAUUUAUUUUUAUUAAAGUUCAAGCGUGGAUUGCUUCUGUUUUCAACAAUUUCAGACAAAUGAAGAAACUAGAUCAACUUUUUGAGUUCCAAA